rnacentral:rRNA from 1 species
UACGUAGGGUGCGAGCGUUGUCCGGAUUUAUUGGGCGUAAAGGGCUCGUAGGCGGCGUGUCGCGUCGGGAGUGAAAGCCCGUUGCUUAACGGCGGGUUGGCUUUCGGUACGGGCAUGCUGGAGUGCGGCAGGGGAGACUGGAAUUCCUGGUGUAGCGGUGGAAUGCGCAGAUAUCAGGGGGAACACCGAUGGCGAAGGCAGAUCUCUGGGCCGUAACUGACGCUGAGGAGCGAAAGCGUGGGGAGCGAACAGG